rnacentral:rRNA from 1 species
UUGCUCUUCAACGAGGAAUGCCUAGUAAGCGCGUGUCAUCAGCACGCGUUGAUUACGUCCCUGCCCUUUGUACACACCGCCCGUCGCUACUACCGAUUGAACGGCUCAGUGAGGCCUUCGGACUGGCCCCAGGAGGUCGGCAACGACCACCAGGGGCCGGAAAGUUGGUCAAACUUGGUCGUUUAGAGGAAGUAAAAGUCGUAACAAGGUUUCCGUAGGUGAACCUGCGGAAGGAUCAUUACCGAGUAUCGGGUCCUCGCGGCCCGCACUCCAACCCUUUGUGUACCAACUUCGUUGCUUUGGCGGGCCCGCGGUGUAAUGCCGCGGCCGGCUCACGCCGGUUAGUGCCCGCCAGAGACCCGUUAAACUCUUGUUUAAACAGUGUCGUCUGAGCAAAAUCAUAACAGUUAAAACUUUCAACAACGGAUCUCUUGGUUCUGGCAUCGAUGAAGAACGCAGCGAAAUGCGAUAAGUAAUGUGAAUUGCAGAAUUCAGUGAAUCAUCGAAUCUUUGAACGCACAUUGCGCCCUCUGGUAUUCCGGGGGGCAUGCCUGUUCGAGCGUCAUUUCAACCCUCAAGCUCUGCUUGGUAUUGGGCAUCGCAGGAGCCUGUCUCCGGCGUGCCUCAAAGCCAUCGGCGGUGGUGCCUUUCUCUAAGCGUGGUAGAAUUUUUAUUCGCUUCUGAGUUGGGUCUCACCCGCCAGAUAAACCGGGCCUCGCGCCCACUUUCUUAGGUUGACCUCGGAUCAGGUAGGGAUACCCGCUGAACUUAAGCAUAUCAAUAAGCGGAGGA